UACGUAGGGUGCAAGCGUUGUCCGGAAUUAUUGGGCGUAAAGAGCUCGUAGGCGGUCUGUCGCGUCUGCUGUGAAAACUCAGGGCUUAACCCUGAGCUUGCAGUGGGUACGGGCAGACUAGAGUGCGGUAGGGGAGACUGGAAUUCCUGGUGUAGCGGUGAAAUGCGCAGAUAUCAGGAGGAACACCGGUGGCGAAGGCGGGGUCUCUGGGGCCGAUACUGACGCUGAGGAGCGAAAGCGUGGGGAGCAAACAGG
rnacentral:rRNA from 1 species